CUCACAGCUAAUCAGGUUCAAAUACAUGGCGUGAGAGACAUUUGUGGAAACUUGCUUCUCCUCCUCAUAUUUCUUCCUACAAAUCAUUUUCCAUUCCAGAUCUUGUAAGAAAUUCGACGGUGAUUUUCAGACAACAAACAGGAGAAGAAACAAGGGAGCAGAAUGUCUAAUUAGGGCAGAAGUCUUGACAGAGCAAGCUUUGUCAAUCUUCUAAGCCAGUACUUGAAAGAAAAGAGGAAUCUUGGGGAUUUCAGCGUUGGAAUCUCUUCAAAACCUGAUGCUAAAGGGAAACAAGCAAAGACAAUGAAUCUUUUGUCCUCCAUGGUUGAUUCUUCAGAGAGUUCAAGACCAAAUCUCUUGUCACCUACAUCAAAUGUGAAGCUGCAGAUUCUUCCAGGC